AAGGUGAAUACCUUGGCAUUCAGAAGCGAAGAAGGACGUGGUUACCGGCGAAACGCCUCGGGGAGUUGGAAACAAGCUUUGAUCCGGGGGUAUCCGAAUGAGGCAACUCUUUAAAACUUCUUGUUGAAUCUAUAGGCAAGAAAGAGCGAACCUGGAGAAUUGAAACAUCUUAGUAACCAGAGGAAUAGAAAGUAAAAACGAUUCUCUUAGUAGCGGCGAGCGAAAUGGGAACAG
rnacentral:rRNA from 14 species